rnacentral:rRNA from 1 species
UACGUAGGGUGCAAGCGUUGUCCGGAAUUAUUGGGCGUAAAGAGCUCGUAGGCGGCUUGUCGCGUCGGCUGUGAAAACCUGGGGCUCAACCCCGGGCCUGCAGCCGAUACGGGCAAGCUAGAAUUCGGUAGGGGAGACUGGAAUUCCUGAUGUAGCGGUGAAAUUCGUAGAUAUCAAGCGGAACACCGGUGGCGAAGGCGGCCUUCUGGACAGUGACUGACGCUGAGAUGCGAAAGCGUGGGGAGCAAACAGG